GACGAACGCUGGAGGCGUGCUUAACACAUGCGAGUCGAACGGAAAGGCCCUGCUUUUGUGGGGUGCUCGAGUGGCGAACGGGUGAGUAACACGUGAGUAACCUGCCCUUGACUUUGGGAUAACUUCAGGAAACUGGGGCUAAUACCGGAUAGGAGCUCCUGCUGCAUGGUGGGGGUUGGAAAGUUUCGGCGGUUGGGGAUGGACUCGCGGCUUAUCAGCUUGUUGGUGGGGUAGUGGCUUACCAAGGCUCUGACGGGUAGCCGGCCUGAGAGGGUGACCGGCCACAUUGGGACUGAGAUACGGCCCAGACUCCUACGGGAGGCAGCAGUGGGGAAUAUUGCACAAUGGGCGGAAGCCUGAUGCAGCAACGCCGCGUGCGGGAUGACGGCCUUCGGGUUGUAAACCGCUUUCGCCUGUGACGAAGCGUGAGUGACGGUAAUGGGUAAAGAAGCACCGGCUAACUACGUGCCAGCCGCCGCGGUAAAAC
rnacentral:rRNA from 1 species